rnacentral:rRNA from 1 species
GAGUAGGGCGGGACACGUGGUAUCCUGUCUGAAUAUGGGGGGACCAUCCUCCAAGGCUAAAUACUCCUGACUGACCGAUAGUGAACCAGUACCGUGAGGGAAAGGCGAAAAGAACCCCGGCGAGGGGAGUGAAAAAGAACCUGAAACCGUGUACGUACAAGCAGUGGGAGCACGCUUAGGCGUGUGACUGCGUACCUUUUGUAUAAUGGGUCAGCGACUUAUAUUCUGUAGCAAGGUUAACCGAAUAGGGGAGCCGAAGGGAAACCGAGUCUUAACUGGGCGUUAAGUUGCAGGGUAUAGACCCGAAACCCGGUGAUCUAGCCAUGGGCAGGUUGAAGGUUGGGUAACACUAACUGGAGGACCGAACCGACUAAUGUUGAAAAAUUAGCGGAUGACUUGUGGCUGGGGGUGAAAGGCCAAUCAAACCGGGAGAUAGCUGGUUCUCCCCGAAAGCUAUUUAGGUAGCGCCUCGUGAAUUCAUCUCCGGGGGUAGAGCACUGUUUCGGCAAGGGGGUCAUCCCGACUUACCAACCCGAUGCAAACUGCGAAUACCGGAGAAUGUUAUCACGGGAGACACACGGCGGGUGCUAACGUCCGUCGUGAAGAGGGAAACAACCCAGACCGCCAGCUAAGGUCCCAAAGUCAUGGUUAAGUGGGAAACGAUGUGGGAAGGCCCAGACAGCCAGGAUGUUGGCUUAGAAGCAGCCAUCAUUUAAAGAAAGCGUAAUAGCUCACUGGUCGAGUCGGCCUGCGCGGAAGAUGUAACGGGGCUAAACCAUGCACCGAAGCUGCGGCAGCGACGCUUAUGCGUUGUUGGGUAGGGGAGCGUUCUGUAAGCCUGUGAAGGUGUACUGUGAGGUAUGCUGGAGGUAUCAGAAGUGCGAAUGCUGACAUAAGUAACGAUAAAGCGGGUGAAAAGCCCGCUCGCCGGAAGACCAAGGGUUCCUGUCCAACGUUAAUCGGGGCAGGGUGAGUCGACCCCUAAGGCGAGGCCGAAAGGCGUAGUCGAUGGGAAACAGGUUAAUAUUCCUGUACUUGGUGUUACUGCGAAGGGGGGACGGAGAAGGCUAUGUUGGCCGGGCGACGGUUGUCCCGGUUUAAGCGUGUAGGCUGGUUUUCCAGGCAAAUCCGGAAAAUCAAGGCUGAGGCGUGAUGACGAGGCACUACGGUGCUGAAGCAACAAAUGCCCUGCUUCCAGGAAAAGCCUCUAAGCAUCAGGUAACAUCAAAUCGUACCCCAAACCGACACAGGUGGUCAGGUAGAGAAUACCAAGGCGCUUGAGAGAACUCGGGUGAAGGAACUAGGCAAAAUGGUGCCGUAACUUCGGGAGAAGGCACGCUGAUAUGUAGGUGAAGUCCCUCGCGGAUGGAGCUGAAAUCAGUCGAAGAUACCAGCUGGCUGCAACUGUUUAUUAAAAACACAGCACUGUGCAAACACGAAAGUGGACGUAUACGGUGUGACGCCUGCCCGGUGCCGGAAGGUUAAUUGAUGGGGUCAGCGCAAGCGAAGCUCUUGAUCGAAGCCCCGGUAAACGGCGGCCGUAACUAUAACGGUCCUAAGGUAGCGAAAUUCCUUGUCGGGUAAGUUCCGACCUGCACGAAUGGCGUAAUGAUGGCCAGGCUGUCUCCACCCGAGACUCAGUGAAAUUGAACUCGCUGUGAAGAUGCAGUGUACCCGCGGCAAGACGGAAAGACCCCGUGAACCUUUACUAUAGCUUGACACUGAACAUUGAGCCUUGAUGUGUAGGAUAGGUGGGAGGCUUAGAAGUGUGGACGCCAGUCUGCAUGGAGCCGACCUUGAAAUACCACCCUUUAAUGUUUGAUGUUCUAACGUUGACCCGUAAUCCGGGUUGCGGACAGUGUCUGGUGGGUAGUUUGACUGGGGCGGUCUCCUCCUAAAGAGUAACGGAGGAGCACGAAGGUUGGCUAAUCCUGGUCGGACAUCAGGAGGUUAGUGCAAUGGCAUAAGCCAGCUUGACUGCGAGCGUGACGGCGCGAGCAGGUGCGAAAGCAGGUCAUAGUGAUCCGGUGGUUCUGAAUGGAAGGGCCAUCGCUCAACGGAUAAAAGGUACUCCGGGGAUAACAGGCUGAUACCGCCCAAGAGUUCAUAUCGACGGCGGUGUUUGGCACCUCGAUGUCGGCUCAUCACAUCCUGGGGCUGAAGUAGGUCCCAAGGGUAUGGCUGUUCGCCAUUUAAAGUGGUACGCGAGCUGGGUUUAGAACGUCGUGAGACAGUUCGGUCCCUAUCUGCCGUGGGCGCUGGAGAACUGAGGGGGGCUGCUCCUAGUACGAGAGGACCGGAGUGGACGCAUCACUGGUGUUCGGGUUGUCAUGCCAAUGGCACUGCCCGGUAGCUAAAUGCGGAAGAGAUAAGUGCUGAAAGCAUCUAAGCACGAAACUUGCCCCGAGAUGAGUUCUCCCUGA